UUAUUAAGAGUUUAAAUUUUUAAUUCCUAGUAUUAUAAGUUAUGAUCUUUAAAUUGAAAGAGUUUGACGGUAAUAUUUAAUCAUUUUAGAGGAACCUGUUCUGUAAUUGAUAAUCCACGAUGAAUUUUACCUUUAAAUUAAUUGUUUGUAUACCUCUGUUUAUGAAUGUUUUAUUAGGAUAUUUUCUUCAAUUUUUAUUAAAAUUUAUAUCAGGUCAAGGUGCAGCUUUUGGAGGUUAGAAAUGGGUUACAUUUAAAGAAAUAUAUUAUUGGAUUAUAUUAUGAAUUUAUUUAUAUGAAAUUGGAUUUAAUUGUAAUAGGCAUUAUAAUAUGCCUAUGAUACAUGUUCUUUAUUAAGUACAUAUCGCCCGUCGCUCCCAUUAUAAGAUGGGAUAAGUCGUAACAAAGUAGUCCUACCGGAAGGUGGGGCUGGAUAUAUACAAAUUAUAAUCUAGGAUUAACUUUUAUUUACAUUAAGAGUUUACUUGUGCGAUUCAAGUUAAUUUGAUUUUUAGGCUUUAUUUAAUUUAUUUAUUAGAUAUAAUAUAUUUUAUAGAAAUACCUUAUUUUUUAGUAUUUUUAAAUGAAUUAAUAUAUGCAUAUUUAUAGUUUAUUUAACUGUGAAGGUUAAUUAUAAUUUGAUUUAAAAGUAGAAUUUAUUUUUUGUACCUUUUGUAUCAGGGUUUAUCAAAAUAUCUUAUUUAUCAAUACUUUUCCCGAAAGUAGAAGAGAUACCUCUAAUUGUAAAUUUAUGUUUUAUAAUAAUUAAUAAAUUAAGGGUAGAUGUUAUAUGCUAUUCAUUUCUAUGAUAUCUGGUUUUUUAAUAAUUGAAUUUAAUUCAGGAAUAUUGUAUACUCCAACUGAUCAAUUUAUUUUUUUUGUUUAAUUAUAUUCUAAAAUGAUUGAGGAUUAGCUCAUUUAUUUUUCUAUAAUAUAUUUUAUGUAUCUAUGACUUAUGUAGGAUUAGAAAUUUUCUUCAUUUAUUUUGGUAUAAUUAUUGUCAUUUUAUACUUUAUUUAAUAUAUAUUUAGAUUAUUAUUAAAGAUUAUUAUUUAAUAGAUUACUAAUAGUUAUAAUGAUAAAAUUAGUAAGUUUUGUAUUUAAUGUAUAGUAACUCGGCAAAUUUAUUCUUCACCUGUUUAACAAAAACAUGUCCUGGUGUUAAUAUAUACUAGGUCUGGCCUGCUCAACGAUUUAUUAAAUAGCCGCAGUAUAUUGACUGUGCAAAGGUAGCAUAAUCAUUUGUCUUUUAAUUGAAGGCUUGUAUGAAUGGUUGGAUGAAGGAAUAGCUUUCUUUAUAUUAAUUAACUAAAUUUAAUUUUUUAGUCAAAAAGCUAAAAUUUAUAAGUGGGACGAGAAGACCCUAUAGAAUUUGAUUUUAUUAUUUUUAUUUAUAUAUUAGGAUUUAAUUAUUGAUAAAGUUGUUAAAAUUUUGUUGGGGUGACAGUGAGAUUUUUUUAACUCUCAUAAAUUUUUAUUUAUUGAUUAGUAUAUUAAAGAUCCUAUUUUAUGGAUAACUAGUUUAAAUUACCUUAGGGAUAACAGCGUUAUUUUUUUUGAGAGUUCAUAUCGAUGAAAAAGU
rnacentral:rRNA from 1 species